rnacentral:rRNA from 1 species
UUGACCUCAAAUCAGGUAGGACUACCCGCUGAACUUAAGCAUAUCAAUAAGCGGAGGAAAAGAAACUAACAAGGAUUCCCCUAGUAACUGCGAGUGAAGCGGGAAAAGCUCAAAUUUAAAAUCUGAGGGUCUUUAUGGCCUUCCGAGUUGUAAUCUAGAGAAGUGCUAUCCGCGCUGGACCGUGUACAAGUCUCCUGGAACGGAGCGUCAUAGAGGGUGAGAAUCCCGUCUUUGA